rnacentral:snRNA from 1 species
ACUCUUGUUUCUCUUCAGAUCGUAUAAAUCUUUCACCGUUUACUAAAGAUUUCUGUGGAGAGGAACAACAAAAUUUCUAACUUUUGAUCCAUUGCAUUAGUGGGG